AUUUGCGCCGAAGGUAUACCGGUAAGGAGUGCUGGAGCGAAUAGAAGUGAGCAUGCAGGCAUGAGUAGCGAUAAUUAAUGUGAGAAUCAUUAACGCCGUAAACCCAAGGUUUCCUACGCGAUGCUCGUCAUCGUAGGGUUAGUCGGGUCCUAAGUCGAGUCCGAAAGGGGUAGACGAUGGCAAAUUGGUUAAUAUUCCAAUACCAACAUUAGUGUGCGAUGGAAGGACGCUUAGGGCUAAGGGGGCUAGCGGAUGGAAGUGCUAGUCUAAGGUCGUAGGAGGUUAUACAGGCAAAUCCGUAUAACAAUACUCCGAGAACUGAAAGGCUUUUUGAAGUCUUCGGAUGGAUAGAAGAACCCCUGAUGCCGUCGAGCCAAGAAAAGUUUCUAAGUUUAGCUAAUGUUGCCCGUACCGUAAACCGACACAGGUGGGUGGGAUGAGUAUUCUAAGGCGCGUGGAAGAACUCUCUUUAAGGAACUCUGCAAAAUAGCACCGUAUCUUCGGUAUAAGGUGUGGUUCGCUUCGUAUUAGGAUUUACUCCGAAAGCGAAGAAACUUACAACAAAGAGUCCCUCCCGACUGUUUACCAAAAACACAGCACUCUGCUAACUCGUAAGAGGAUGUAUAGGGUGUGACGCCUGCCCGGUGCUCGAAGGUUAAUUGAUGGGGUUAGCAUUAGCGAAGCUCUUGAUCGAAGCCCGAGUAAACGGCGGCCGUAACUAUAACGGUCCUAAGGUAGCGAAAUUCCUUGUCGGUUAAAUACCGACCUGCAUGAAUGGCGUAACGAGAUGGGAGCUGUCUCAAAGAGGGAUCCAGUGAAAUUGUAGUGGAGGUGAAAAUUCCUCCUACCCGCGGCAAGACGGAGAGACCCCGUGGACCUUUACUACAGCUUGACACUGCUAUUUGGAUAAGAAUGUGCAGGAUAGGUGGGAGGCUUUGAGUAUAUGACGCCAGUUGUAUAUGAGCCAUUGUUGAGAUACCACUCUUUCUUAUUUGGGUAGCUAACCAGCUUGAGUUAUCCUCAAGUGGGACAAUGUCUGGUGGGUAGUUUGACUGGGGCGGUCGCCUCCCAAAUAAUAACGGAGGCUUACAAAGGUUGGCUCAGAACGGUUGGAAAUCGUUCGUAGAGUAUAAAGGUAUAAGCCAGCUUAACUGCAAGACAUACAAGUCAAGCAGAGACGAAAGUCGGUCUUAGUGAUCCGGUGGUUCUGUGUGGAAGGGCCAUCGCUCAAAGGAUAAAAGGUACCCCGGGGAUAACAGGCUGAUCUCCCCCAAGAGCUCACAUCGACGGGGAGGUUUGGCACCUCGAUGUCGGCUCAUCGCAUCCUGGGGCUGGAGCAGGUCCCAAGGGUAUGGCUGUUCGCCAUUUAAAGCGGUACGCGAGCUGGGUUCAGAACGUCGUGAGACAGUUCGGUCCCUAUCUGCCGUGGGCGUAAGAAGAUUGAAGAGAUUUGACCCUAGUACGAGAGGACCGGGUUGAACAAACCACUGGUGUAGCUGUUGUUCUGCCAAGAGCAUCGCAGCGUAGCUAAGUUUGGAAAGGAUAAACGCUGAAAGCAUCUAAGCGUGAAGCCAACUCUAAGAUGAAUCUUCUCUAAGCUCUCUAGAAGACUACUAGUUUGAUAGGCUGGGUGUGUAAUGGAUGAAAGUCCUUUAGCUGACCAGUACUAAUAGAGCGUUUGGCUUAUCUUUAAUAAAGCAU
rnacentral:rRNA from 1 species